ACACUAUCAGCGUUAUCAUGCACAGACCCACGGGGAGUAUAUACACUCGGACCAACACAUCCGAUGGAUUAUGGCAAAGUGACUUACUAAACGUGUAAGACAAGAUGAAAUGUAGUGGGCACAAGCCGCCGAUGCCAAGUCUGAUAAUUAUCAUUCUGGUGAAUGUGGUUCUGCUCAGCCAAUACG